CAGCCGUAAACAAUGUGCGUUAGGUGUGUCGGUAACCACGUGUUACUGAUGCGCCGAAGAGAAAUCGUGAAACGCACCACCUGGGAAGUACGGUCGCAAGGAUGAAACUUAAAGGAAUUGGCGGGGGAGCACCGCAACGGGAGGAGCGUGCGGUUUAAUUGGAUUCAACACCGUAAAACUCACCAGGGAAGACUGUUACAUGAAGGCCGAGAUGAAGACUCUGCUAGAUUUUCAGAGAGGAGGUGCAUGGCGUCAGUGACU
rnacentral:rRNA from 1 species